rnacentral:pre_miRNA from 2 species
CAUCCCUUGCAUGGUGGAGGGUGAGCUUUAUGAAAACCCCUCCCACAUGCAGGGUUUGCA